UACAGACGGUCCAAACGUUAUUCGGAAUCACUGGGCGUAAAGAGCUCGUAGGCGGUUUGUCGCGUCGAAUGUGAAAACCCGGGGCUCAACCCCGGGCCUGCAUUCGAUACGGGCAGACUAGAGUUCGGUAGGGGAGUCUGGAAUUCCUGGUGUAGCGGUGAAAUGCGCAGAUAUCAGGAGGAACACCGGUGGCGAAGGCGGGACUCUGGGCCGAUACUGACGCUGAGGAGCGAAAGCGUGGGGAGCAAACAGG
rnacentral:rRNA from 1 species